UUUUUCACCAAUGUUUUCGUUUGUAAUUUAAGACGCACGUGUGGAACUGUUGGACUAUUGGGGUAACAUUUUACAAAAUAAUAAAUUCUGUUGUCAAUAAUGACAAUACAACUUAAUAAACGCGGCUUAAUGUCGCUAAUACGCACAGAAAAUGAACGUAUCAUGGAUAUGUUGCUAACUUACAACGUGCCGGAUUCAAUAGAAACCGUCGAAUAUGAUGACUACCUGCUGCAUAAUAACAAAUCUGCUGCCAAAGCCAAAAAUACGUUGGAUGCUCGCAAGGUAACACCAAUCGAUGAGCUGCAGGACCGACUCAAUAUUAUUAAAAACAAAAUGAAAGCUAAGAAACGUCCAGCGUCUGAACGUUCAUUGAAGAGACGUGAAGCUAAGAAGCUUAGAAAGAAUAAGGAAGUUAAGAAAAUAUUGGUUUCCGCCGCGAAAUCAAUCAAAAAUGAACAGCAGAAACUGACUAAUUCAGGUGAUGGUGAAAAAGAGGAUAAAAAGGAUAUUAAGAAAUUAAUACCCAAACCCGUCUUCAACGAGGAGGGUAAAAUUGUAUUCUCCAAAUUCGAUUUCGCGUCACAUCCAGGUGCUAAAGUCAAGAAAUCACAUCAAAAUCCACGGGAGAUUUUAAAGAAAAUUAAACAGACAGAUAAGAAAAUCAACGAAUUAAAAGAACAGGGUGAGGUUGAGAAGGCAGCAGAAAUUAAAACCGAGAUAGCGUGGAAGAAAGCAUUUGAUAAAAUUGAAGGUAAAAAGGUAAAAGAUGAUCCAAAGCUUCUGUACAAGGCCAUCAAGAAGCGCAAGACUGAGAAGAAGAAAUCUAAAAAGGAGUGGGUGGAACGCAAACAGAAGGUUGAGUCAGGCAUUGAUCAACGGCAAAAGAAACGACAAGAGAACAUUAACAAACGUAUUAAUGAUAAGAAGACAAAGAAAUUGAAGACGCUGGCCAAAAAGGGACGAGUAAUACCCGGUUUCUAAUUGUUUUAAAUUAAGCUAUUUGCGCAAUGGAUUUGAAUUUAGCAAUCAUAGGAAGAUAAUUUAUAUACAAAUGUACGUUUUGCGAAUGUGCAGGAUCUAUGUGCCUAGGAUCUGUGAAUACAGGAGUCUUCGACUAGCCAAGCGUUAGCGAGGCAUGGUGAAAAGAAUUCUGAAGGGAGGUUUCAUUAUUCCUUCAACUUUGCGAAUUCUCUUUUGGUGCUCCCUAUGUGUUAGUUUUAAUCUACAGUCAACACCAAUAUUGAGAACAACGAGAACACUAAAGGUGUUGACAGAGCACGAGCAUCAUAAGUAAGAGGGUUGAUGGGUUAUAUACAGUUAGAAUGCCAAAAAAAAGCAAAUUUUCCAGAAUUUUAUCUGAGAAAACUUUUAAAUUUAUUGAUUUAAAGAUUCGUGCACAUAUUAUGUUAUCUUGUAACUGUAUUUAGUAUUAGUAGAAAUAUUUAUUUGAAAAGGAGCUACAGCUGAUUUCCGUGAGCUCCUCUAAAAAACGACGUUUUGCGGCACUAUAUCUCUGAACUGGAUCCUCUGAAAUUAAAAAAACUAAAUAGAUUUCGUUCAAGUAAUGUUAAAUCUAGUGUUUAAUCGAAGGAAUAGGCAGAAUAAUUUUUUUUGGCAAAAUGGUGAUUUGUCAAAACAAAAAAAAAAUUGAUUUUUUGACCAAAAUUUCGACCUUAAUUAAAUUGUUUAUAAAAAACAUUUAUCGAUGAGAAAAAAUCUUCAAUUAAUUACUAAAAAAUAUAUUUAAGAAGUGCUUAAAGUUUGAAAAGUACUUUCAAUCACUCUGAAACGCCUCUGCAAAUUUGUGUGUAACUUUGAAAAUAUUCAUCGGAACAAUAUUAAAUUUUCUGUAUGUAUUCUUAAUUAUAUGUACAUUAAGAAAAAAGAAACAAAACAAAAGAUCGAUUUUUUGAAAAUUCUAACUGUAUAUACCCCUUUAAAGCUGUUUUACUAAUAUUGAUUAAGUGCUUCCCAAAAAAUUUAAUUUCUGGUAGCUUUUUCCAGUGUGACCAGUAUAUAUAUAUAUAUUUACUAGCAAACCCGGCCCGCUUCGCUGGGCAGACUAAAAUAGAAUAGAUAUGGUUUAGAACAGAAAAGAUGUGGUUUUCAUAUUAUU